rnacentral:rRNA from 1 species
GACGUAGGGGGCGAGCGUUGUCCGGAUUUACUGGGCGUAAAGCGUGCGCAGGCGGUUCGUUGUGUCGGCGGUGAAAGCCCCGGGCUUAACCUGGGAAUGGCCGUUGAAACUGGCGAACUGGAGUGUGGCAGAGGGGGGUGGAAUUCCGCGUGUAGCAGUGAAAUGCGUAGAGAUGCGGAGGAACACCGAUGGCGAAGGCAGCCCCCUGGGCUAACACUGACGCUCAGGCACGAAAGCGUGGGGAGCAAACAGG